rnacentral:lncRNA from 1 species
UUUGUUAUUUGUAUCUGAUCUUCGUUUAUCUAUUUAUUUUUAAUCUGAAGAAGUGGAUUAAUAAUGUUUAACUGAUAAUGUGAUUCGAUCCAAUGAUAUUUCAAUUUUCAAAGGCUUGAUUGUUUGUUAUUAUAUCUGGCUUUAAUUUCUCUACUUCUUGCUGACUUGAUAGAUUGGAUUAAUUUUUUGAAAAAUAAUGUGAUCCGAUCAGGCGUUGAGGAUGUUAAGACGGAUUGUAAGACGCAAACGGUAGUAGUGAAGGGAGAGAAAGCAGAUCCAUUGAAGGUUCUAGAACGGAUUCAGAAGAAGAACCACCGGCAAGUUGAGCUUCUCUCUCCGGUACCGAAAGCUCCGGCUGAUCAGCCUAAAAAAGUCGACGAUAAAGAGGCGUCGAAACCUGAAGAGAAGAAAGAGGAGGUUUGGAAAUUAAUAUAUUUGUUCUGAUAAUCUCAGUUUCACUGAAUCCAGUUUAUUUGAUUAGGGUUUAUAUAUAAUAUCAAAACACAGGCUCCUCCACAGGUGAUUACGGUGGUUUUAAAAGUUCAUAUGCAUUGUGAAGCUUGUGCACAAGAAAUCAGAAAACGUAUAAUGAAGAUGAAAGGUAAUUUCUUUUUCAAAUUCUCAACACAAUUUUUGAUCAGCUAUGAAUUCCCCCUUUCCGUAAUCUGUAAAUCUUUUGAAAAAAUAUCUUUGAUUUGAGCCUUUAAUUCACUGAAUUUCGUUUGAACUUUAAAGUCCAUUACAUUAACGUUAGGCUCAAUUCGAGUUUGAAAUGAAUCAAACGUUAACGAGCGGGUCGGACGUUUGGUAAGGUUCGGGUUGGAUUGGUUUAUCAAUGCCUUUUCUCUUUCGGUUAAAGUUUUAUUAUUAAUUGAUAAAUUAAAUGUCAUCACAAAAACCAAUAUACUAGUUGGUAUUCGUAUGAUUCUUUUGAUAUUUAAAAAUUAAAUUAUAUAGGGGUCUUAUUGAGAAUAUAAAUAUUUGAUAUGCUAAAUAUAUUAAAUAUCUACCUAUAUCCAUUUUCACCCACUUUAACCCGUUUAUUUUGUAAGCUAAGAUUAUAAAUUUACUCAUUUGAUAUUUGGAGAUAGAAUAGAGAGUUUGUCAAAUUCAUAUAUUUAUAGAUAAGUGCUCCAAAACUAUGCAUUUUUACCAAAUUUGAUUAAGAAAACCAUGUGGAGUUGUCUAUCUUUUGGCAGAAAAACCCUAUAUACCCUCAUAAAAGUAUUUUUAAGAGUUCAAAACUUCAAAUAAAUCAAAGUGACUCGAUAGUGUAAAAAAGGUUUAAAAGUAUUAAAGUGUUUAUUCACUUAUUAUGUUUUGACAUUGCUAAUACUUAUUAGUGUUUGGAUAGUUCAAAUAUAAAAGUCCCUAAAUACAUAAAUAAUGAGUUUUUCAUAAGUUAAUUUAUCUAAAAUAAUUUAUAACUUAUUUAAACUAAAUUACCAUACCAACCUUAUCAUAACCCUACAUUUUUAUAUACUAAGAUGUAUUUUUUUGGACAUUUUACGUGAAUAAACAAAAUUUGUCAAACACAAAGACUUUCUUGGCCAAAAUAAAAUUACUACAAUUUGCUUUUUUAUAAAACCAUAAGAUGUUUAUUUUAGCUUAUAAGCUAGCUUUUGAUAAGUUACUUUUAAAACAGUUUUUGAGAAGCUUAGAGUUUUUUUCAAAAACAUUUCAAAUAUACGCUUAAUUAUAUAUAAUGCUAGUUUUUAGUUACAUAUCUAAAUUUCCAUUUAGUCAUUUUACAUUUGCAAUCUAGUUUAUAAAGUAUUUUUUAUCAAACAUUAUUAAUAUAUAAACUAACUUUUCAUUUGCAAUCUAGUUUAUAAAGUAUUUUUUAUCAAACAUUAUUAAUAUAUAAACUAACUUUUCAUUUGCAAUCUAGUUUAUAAAGUAUUUUUUAUCAAACAUUAUUAAUGUAUAAACUAACUUUUCAGUUACUCUGCUAAACAUGACCUAAAAAACAAUGUAUUAUCUUAUUAUGUUUUGGUAUCGGAUAAACUAAUUCAAACAUUUUUUUAACUUGAUUUUAAGACCGAAUAAUAAUAAACAUUUUUAUAAACAAACAUAAAUUGUUUCAAAUAAACAAUCCCAAACACCCUUAAAAUACAAAAGAUUUUCUAAAAGAAAAUCUUAAACUAUAUUCUUUAUUAACCUAAUCUUAUAACAACCUUUUGAUUUUUUUUCCAUAUUAUCUUUUGAAAAUGAUUUUUACCAUCGUAAGACAAAAGGAAAAUAAUGUUUUUAUUUUAACCUAAUAAUCAUUUUCUUGAAAAUAUUUUGUUAAGCUAAUUCAUUUUUUUUUUGUGUGUGUGUUUGAUGCCACAUAAUCUAAUAAUUACUUUUACCAAAAAAUAAUUAUUAUUUUCAAAAUUCAAUCCCAAACCUUAAAUUUUAAAUAUCUAUUAUUUCUGUACUAAUUAACCCAUUUUAUUAUAUACUACAUAAUAUCUCCUAUUAUAAUAUAAAUAAUUAUUUAAAUCUUACUGAACAAUAUUUCUUUUGAAAUAUCUUAUUAAAAACGAUGUACGCUUAAAAACUAAAAUUUAUUUAUGAAUACUUAACAAAAGUAUUUCAAAUAAAUAAAGAUUAUUAGUUAGUUAAAUUUUCAGAGAAAGGUUUUUGAAACAGUUAACGUUAGUUUUUGUUAAAUGAAAUUUGUAGAAAACAUGACAAAAAGUCAAAAAUAAUAAAUCUAUGAUAGAAAUUAACCACUGUGAAUUCUCUUACGUUUUUCCAUUUAUUGGCUGUAUAUCUCCUUUGCAAUUCAAUAGAUCUUUUGUGCAGGGGUGGAAAGUGCAGAAGCCGAUCUAAAAAGUUCAGAGGUGGCGGUGAAAGGCGCAUUUGAGCCACAGCAACUGGUGGAAUACGUUACCAAGAAAGUAGGCAAACAGACUGUGAUUGUGAUUGUGAAACAAGAUCCAAAGCCCAACAUACCUGAAGACGACAAAGGUAAAGAUGUAAAAGUCAAGAAAAAGGAAAGCGGUGCCGAUAAGAAGAAGGAAGAGAAGAAACCGGAAGAAGCCGGCGGCGAAGUAGCGGCGCAACCAAAGGAGGCGGCGAGCGGUGGAGAAGAGACGAAAGUCGUAGAUUUGAGAAAGAUUGAAUUCAAUUGUCACCAAACAAACCUUCCGAGAUACGUCGUGGAAUCGGUGUAUGGUUAUCCGGCAGCUCCACAGUUGUUCAGUGAUGAGAAUCCUAAUGCGUGUUCUGUUAUGUGAAAAGCCUGCUUCAUUUCGUAUGCUAUUAUUUUGACCCUUCCUUUCUAAUUCUUAUU